ACUUGGCUGGCUCAGUUGGUAGAGCAUACGACUCUUGAUCUUAGACUUGUAAGUUUGAACCCACGUUAGGUG
rnacentral:tRNA from 1 species